rnacentral:lncRNA from 1 species
AUAGCUAGUAUGGCACACCAAUUAGGGUUUCAAAGGUAUUUUCGAGUUCGGGUCCUAAUUGAGAUAUGGUUAAUGCCUUAACGGUGUAAGUAUCUAAGACUUUAUUUGAGAUUGUGAGAAAUUUACUAUAAUAGAAAAAUAGUCCGUCUGCCUCGGUAAGUAAUAACAUAUUAUGCAUAUUGUAAUAAGUCAGUUAACAUAUGAUUUCUGAGAUUGUAUCAUUAUGCAUAAUGUAAUAAGCCAUUUAAGAUGUAACUUUUACGGUCCUGUCAAAAAUCAGAAAAGCAUAUCACUAUCCAGGGUUGGCAAUUUAACUUGCUAUUCGUGAGACAGCUCACGUAUGGCUCGAAAUGUGGCUCGAAAUGAGCUCGAGAUCGAAUCGCUCGUUUAAUAAACGAGCCGAAUAUGAACAGAAUUUUUCAACUCGUUUAAUAAACAAGCCGAACGCAAACUGAAUUUUUAAGCUCGUUUAAUAAACGAGUCGGAUACGAGUUGGGGUCAGAUUGCUUGUUUUCGGCUUGAUAACAGCUCGAACACAUAUAUUUUUUAUAUUUAUAUAUAUAAAUAAAUAAUUAUAUAUGUAAAAAAUAGAUUUUUAUUAUUUGAUUUUUGGCCUAUUUAAAUAUAAAGCCCAACUUAAUUAUAAAAAUAUCCAUUAUAUAUAAAGUUUCAACCAUUAAAUCAAAAUCUAAUAGAUAAAAUCUCAUAAAUUUAUUUUUUAUAUAUGACUUUUCUAAUUUUUUCAACUUGUUGUUCGUGAGUCAGCUCGUAUUUGACUUGUUAGCUGAACUCGAGCUGAAUUUUUCGACUCGAUAUUUUAACAGACCAGCCUCUAUUCGGCUGGUUUAUGAACGUGAGCUGGCCCAAGCUUGCCCGUGUUCGUCUCGUUGACACCCUUACUUAUACUCAACUCCGUUUCAUCUAAUAGUAUUGCACCGCUCUCAAUAGCAAAUAGGCCUAGGUUUUUU